CGGAUGUGGCGAAAUUGGUAGACGCGCUAGACUUAGGAUCUGGUGCCGAAAGGCGUGGGGGUUCGAGUCCCUUCAUCCGC
rnacentral:tRNA from 1 species